rnacentral:rRNA from 1 species
AACGAACGCUGGCGGCAGGCUUAACACAUGCAAGUCGAACGCCCCGCAAGGGGAGUGGCAGACGGGUGAGUAACGCGUGGGAUCAUACCCUUUCCUGCGGAAUAGCUCUGGGAAACUGGAAUUAAUACCGCAUACGCCCUACGGGGGAAAGAUUUAUCGGGGAAGGAUUGGCCCGCGUUGGAUUAGCUAGUUGGUGGGGUAAAGGCCUACCAAGGCGACGAUCCAUAGCUGGUCUGAGAGGAUGAUCAGCCACAUUGGGACUGAGACACGGCCCAAACUCCUACGGGAGGCAGCAGUGGGGAAUAUUGGACAAUGGGCGCAAGCCUGAUCCAGCCAUGCCGCGUGAGUGAUGAAGGGCUUAGGGUUGUAAAGCUCUUUCACCGAUGAAGAUAAUGACGGUAGUCGGAGAAGAAGCCCCGGCUAACUUCGUGCCAGCCGCCGCAGUAAAAC